ensembl:lncRNA
AAUUGAGUUUCCCUAUUUUGGAAUGGGUUCACUUGACCCCAGAAUAACCUAAAAUAUUACUAAAUUAUUUUCAUCAUUUUCUAAGGAAAAAAUGAUUUCCUUUACUCCUAGUGUCAGCAAAUAAUAAAAUAUUGUUGCUUUGCUGAUAGCACAGCAGACAAAACCCAUAAACCUAAACAGACUAUUUGCAAUGCUAAAAAUUGACUCAAACAGAAAGCAAAAUUAACUUUUUAAUUUUGUUUAAAGCAGAGAUAAUAAAUAAUCUCCAAAGCCAAACACUGUUAAAAAUCUUAUUUUAAACUAGGGAACAUUUGACAGCAUUGAAGGUUUCACGCAGCUAAACAAAAGCUUUCUGAGGGAAGUUUCAGAAGGCAUUUCUUUAUGCUUUGUCCAUAUUCUAAGUGCCCUCUACUGCCAAAAGAGCCGUACUACAGAGAAAACCAGCUCGGCUGAGAGAGCAAGUAGGAACCCACCCAGGGACUGCUGGAAAGGAAGAAUUUAAUACUUCCCGGUACUGCUUUUCAGCCUAUAUGGAGCUGGACUUGAAAGCUAUCAGUAAUAAGAUGUUGCAUUUUUUAUAAGAAGAAAAAGGAAAAUUAAUCCAGUGGUGAAUGGAAGUACGUAAUCAUUUAUUUCUCCUGGCAAUGUGACUUGUUCCUUUCUGCAGCUUGCUGUUCUCCAUUGGUUUCUCUACCUAUUUGUGAUGUCUAUUUCGGCAUUUGAGAGAAAUAUUUCCCGAGACCAGCUGUGCCCGUGCCUAACAUGCAGCCAAGACUCUACCCAGUAUAUUGGAGCAGACUUGCACCAGUACUGACCAGAUUUAUUCAGGAGCUGGAAGAUUAUACCUCAGCUGAGCUUCCACUGUGGAUCCACUGCACUUCCCUGAGUGACUGCACAAAGUUCCAGCUAUAAAAAAAUUGCCUGUACUCUCCAGGGCUGGCAAUAAAACACAAAAUAACUGAGAAUGCAAACAGCUAGCUUAAGUAGAUGGGAGAGGACUAAACAUCUACUUAGACCUGUAAGUUACAUGAUGGCUCCACACUUCAAAGCAGUAACUUAACCCACAACUGACAAGUCUGUCUGCUUGAUUCUCUGCUUGCCCAAGCACUGAAAUGCCAGUUCAGCUGAUGACCUGAACCACUCAUUCCUAUUCCGUGUUGACCAAAAUCUAAAUUAUAUUUCCAGAAAUGUCAUAUUCUUUGAGUCAUUUUCCCCUUUCCAACAGUUCUUGCAAAUCUCUCAGACACCUGGAACUCUCGACCAAGGACCAAAUCCUUCAUCUCCCACAAUGGCAAUAAACUAUCAGAAUUUAGGAAUAGAAAUAGGUUGCAGCUGCCACAUAUAAUGCCACAGAUAACGCAGAAUGGAAAAAUUCAGCUUUUACUGCUUCCCUAAGAAAAGAAAAAUUAACCCUUGACUUGCAGUUCUAUAGUUACCUCUUAUUUGAAGCAUUUUUUCUUCCAGUUAUUUCCAGGAAUAAAAACUUAGAACUAGAGCCUGCUCAUGCUUGCUGCCAGUUAAACUUUUAGGGGUAGUUUUAGAACUUCUGAAAAAGAGAAGUUCAUCUUCCUUGAACCUGUGCAUUGCCUAACAAUGCCCAUAAUCAUUUGCUCCUCGUUUCAUCAAUUUCUACAUUUAUUAUAGUUUCAUCACGUGUUAGAGAUAGUUAACAUUUUUUUGCAUGGUCGCUAGACCCUCUCUAAUGUCAGAAUGAAUCUGGGUACAUAAAGAUUUCACAGAUUAGGAUCACUGCAUGGCUAGUACGGUCCUAUUUAUUGCUAAGAUAUUGUAGCAGCUGAGAUCAGAUGAGGUAUUUGGGCCAGUAGGUCAAGUUUCACUGGGAAAGAGGAUGGUGCUGUCUGUGAGGGAUCCUAUGCCCAAGCAAACCAGGCAGUAUAUCACACUGCAAAGUCUCC